GACACGACGAAACAGAAUCUCAGCCAGGCAAAGUUUGGACGGAGCCUCCGCGGCGGUUGAUGGCAUCGCCGGCGAGCUCAGGUCCACCGUCGCCCCCAACUUCCCGGCAAGCCUAACCCAGUUCACCAAGGACCUAUCGGAUCAGGGGCUCGAUACAUGGAAGAGCCAAAGAGCUCCCUAGUCAUGGCUAGAGCAAUAUGUCAAGCUUUGUAUUUAAAGAUCUAGGCUUGGGGAUGCAUCGAAAGGCAAGUCUUCAAGAUCUGGUUUUCGUUCAACCAACAUUGAAUCGCCGAGCAGAAGUUAGACAUACACCAUCCGAUGAGCCAUUUUGAGUACAAACUUUGUACUUGGUUCCGACAUUUGUAUUGCUUUAGCCUGGGCAUCUUGAUCGUCUGUCCUAUCUAUUGUAAUUUGUUUUGGUUUGAUGCUUCAGCCCAAAGCUUGAUCUGAUCACAUGCUGAUUCAUCAUGAUGUGCCAUGUUUCCGAUCCUACAUGAUUUUCAACUCUUCAUAGCUUGAAAGAUUUUGAACUUUGGAGCAAUGUGAAGUUUUGUAUGGAUUUGGA